rnacentral:sRNA from 3 species
UUGCUAUCUGCGAUAUGGAAGAUUCGAACCUGCUGCAGGUUCGGGUCUCAUGCAGUGAGACAACGGAGCCGUUUACGGCGACGGCCCGAAGGGCGAGCGAAGCGAGUCAUCCUGCACGACCCACCA